rnacentral:rRNA from 1 species
GACGAACGCUGGCGGCGUGCCUAAUACAUGCAAGUCGAACGAGAGCGACCGGUGCUUGCACUGGUCAAUCUAGUGGCGAACGGGUGAGUAACACGUGGGUAACCUGCCCAUCAGAGGGGGAUAACAUCCGGAAACGGAUGCUAAAACCGCAUAGGUCUUCGAGCCGCAUGGCUUGAAGAGGAAAAGAGGCGCAAGCUUCUGCUGAUGGAUGGACCCGCGGUGCAUUAGCUAGUUGGUGAGGUAACGGCUCACCAAGGCCGUGAUGCAUAGCCGACCUGAGAGGGUGAUCGGCCACAUUGGGACUGAGACACGGCCCAAACUCCUACGGGAGGCAGCAGUAGGGAAUCUUCCGCAAUGGACGCAAGUCUGACGGAGCAACGCCGCGUGAGUGAAGAAGGUUUUCGGUUCGUAAAACUCUGUUGUUAGAGAAGAACAAGUGCUAGAGUAACUGUUAGCGCCUUGACGGUAUCUAACCAGAAAGCCACGGCUAACUACGUG